rnacentral:rRNA from 1 species
UUUUUAGAGAGUUUGAUCCUGGCUCAGGAUGAACGCUGGCGGCGUGCCUAACACAUGCAAGUCGAACGAAGCACUGAGACUUCGGUUUUUGUGCUUAGUGG